rnacentral:snRNA from 1 species
AUCGCUCCUUGGCCUUUUGGCUAAGAUCAAGUGUAAU